GUGCCGGUGGUGUAAGGCGAACAUCGCUACCCGGAAAGCAGAAGAUGCGGGUUCGAGUCCCGCCCGCCGCA
rnacentral:tRNA from 1 species